ensembl:lncRNA
GUACGCUACAAAACCAUGCUGUUUUUUUACUACCAAGACACAGUUUCUGAGCGUGAGUUAUUCCAUAACGGACACAAACAAUUCUGUCCCUGAAGAACUGAAACGUAAACAAAGGAAUUAUCAUCCAUAUUACAACGUUAUUGCUUCGUUGGGCUAAAUGUGUUCCAUGAGAUUUCGUUCAGUGAACCCUUACCUUCCUAACUAAACCGGGAUUUACAGCUGUGGAUGUGUUUAUGACUCGUUGUUACGACGAAUCUGAUUGAGUGGCGAUCAGAGAAUGAAAGGACAUCUGAAGGACAGCCAGGAUGAACAGGAGCAACACAGAAACGCACUUCCUCUACGCAGGCUGUCCUUGAGCGCCUCUGUGCUUUGCUGCGGUGAAGAGCUGGAGGAGAACUGAUCUGCUGAUAUUUGAGUGUGAGUAGAGCAGGUUGGCAGUGAUGUUAUCUCCCUCCCCAGUAAAGACCAAUGAGCUCAUGUAAUUUAGAUUAAUGGCAGGGGGGCUUUUCCAUGCUUGGGUCACUGCCUGAAAACUCCCUAGAAAGGAGAGGAUGAAUUCUCGUUCUCUCAUCUGAUCCCAAUAGCCAGAUCCCAGCUUUCCAUUUCCAUUUUUUCCCUGCUUGCUCUGUUUAGGGUCUCGGAGACCCCAACGGCAAUUUAAUAGACUGGAAAAUAUACUUACCUUUGAACGUUCAAGUCAAUAUUUUCCCAAAUCUUAUGAAAGUAUAAACAAGGUUUGACAAAUCUUUGCUCCACGGACCAUUUUAAAAUGCUUAUCAUUAGAGUUG